AUGGAUACGCGUGACAUACUGAAUGUGAGGUUUCAUUUCAAUGGUCAAUUUAUUCGAAUUGGGCCUGAUUUAGACUAUGUUGGGGGAGAUGAGGCAAUGCCAGAGAUAGUAAGAGACAAGUUGUCUUUGCCAGAAGUGAAAGGUUUUUUUGCUGAUCAUGUUCCUUUCAAAGAAAGUAUGAAGAUUUUCUUUCUGGUGCCUGGUAAAGAACUAGUGGAUGGGUUGUUAUUUUUGUGUGAUGAUGCUGGCUGUAUGAAGAUGUCUGAAUAUAUAACUGCAGGAGGAGUUGCAGAGGUUUAUGUGGAAUAUUUUGGGGAGCAAGAUGAUGAAAGUGCAAGUGACAGUGGAAGUGACUUCGAAAAUGAGAUGGGAAAUGAGGUAGCAGAAGAAGAUGUGCAGAUUGUUUGUGUAAAUCCAUCAUCCUUGACUAGAAGUGAGAACUUGCUUGUACCAAAUGGGAGUGGUGUUAUUACUCAAGUGAUUAGCAGCCCUACAAAACAGAAUUUCAUUAGGAAACAGAGGCUAACAUAG
rnacentral:rRNA from 1 species